rnacentral:tRNA from 1 species
GGGGAUUUGGCUCAGUGGUAGAGCGCUUGUCUAGCAAGCACAAGGCCCUGGGUUCAGUCCCCAGCUCCG